AAAUAAGAAGCAAAACUUGCAUUUAGUUUCGACCUAAAAGUAUGAUGAUUAACAUCCUUAUUUA
rnacentral:tRNA from 1 species